GCUAACAUGUAGUUGUAGCUAGUUAAUAAAGAGUUAUGUUAAGAAACAUCCUGUAGUUCUGCGUUUUAUUAUUUUGUACAAAGCGUACAAAACAAGACAUUUUCCACACAGACUGUGUGUGGAAAAUGAUUUAAGACAGACUGAGACUCUCUCCAAUACAACCCAACAUUGCAGAGUUAUGUGCAUCCUUUCAAGCACACCAUUCUCAUUAACCUGUGACCAGCUCCCGUAUCUUUCUGGGCCAUGGCCUCAGUGGACCUGCUGUGACUUGGGGCCAAGGCCAGUCCACUGAUACUUUGUCAGCUGCAUUUACAUAACACUGGCUAACUGUGAACAUAAAUGAACACCUUCCACGAUUGACACCUCCUCACAAAGCAAUUGUCUUGAGGAUGCAGAGGUUGUAUUGUUACACAACUGAUGGCAACAAAUCAACACUAGAGCCAACAUUGACAUAAACACUGGGGACACACUGGUGAGGGAUGCACAGACUGCUCUCUUCAA
rnacentral:lncRNA from 1 species